AUAGAUACCCGGGUAGUCCUAGCCCUAAACGAUGAUUGCUUGGUGUGACAGGUACCCAAUCCUGUCGUGCCGAAGCUAACGCGAUAAGCAAUCCGCCUGGGGAGUACGGUCGCAAGGCUGAAACUCAAAGGAGUUGACGGGGGCCCGCACAAGCGGUGGAGCAUGUGGUUUAAUUCGACGCAACGCGAAGAACCUUACCUGGGCUCGAAAUGUAGUGGACUGGGGUAGGAAAUAUCCCUUCCUAGCAAUAGGCUGCUAUAUAGGUGCUGCAUGGCUGUCGUCAGCUCGUGUCGUGAGAUGUUGGGUUAAGUCCCGCAACGAGCGCAACCCUUAUCUUCAGUUGCUACCAUUUAGUUGAGCACUCUGACGAAACCGCUCGGAUAACGGGGAGAAGGUGGGGAUGACGUCAAGUCCUCAUGGCCUUUAUGUCCAGGGCUACACACGUGCUACAAUGGCCGGUACAAACCGCUGCAAACCCGGCGAGGGGGGAGCUAAUCGGGAAAAAGCCCGGGCCUCAGUUCGGAUUGGAGU
rnacentral:rRNA from 1 species